GGAGAAGUGGUCGAGUGGUUGAAGGCGCAGCACUGGAAAUGCUGUUUACUCUAACCGGGUAACGAGGGUUCGAAUCCCUCCUUCUCCG
rnacentral:tRNA from 1 species